GGGCACUUGUUUUGUUCACAGUAUAUCAAAAUAUAAAGUACAACAAUAUUUUGCCAAAAUUGCUGCAAUCAUACACGAUUUUUUUGACAUGACAAAAAACGAGGAGCUAGCCUUGUCUUUGGUACUUGAGACAUUUGGAACCAUUAGCCUUUAGCUAGGUCGUGGUCCGAAAUGGAAGCAUCGCUGCUCGGUCUCUUGUCAAAACAGGUCUGUGUAAGCAUGUAUAAAGCAUAAAAGAAACCUAAAAUGAUUCACCAAUUAAAAGACAUGGAUUGAGAGGAAUGAUAUAAUAUAAGAGUAGAGUUAUGCAUUCACUUAGAUCAUGCUGCUCUACAACAACCUGUCACAUCAUUUAUUCAUUUUCAUAUUCUUAUAUCUCUCAUCAUUUAUUCUUAUUCCUUCGUUACUUAUUGUGAGUGUUUAUCAACCAAAGGUUGGAGCCUAGACAGCAAUAAAAAAUUGUUUAUGUGCAAACCUCUUGCAGAAACCAGAGCACAAACGUUUCCUUUACUUCCUAAAAAGGCCUAUUACUGAAAGGAUCAUCAUGAACACAAUGAAACAGGCGACGCCAAUAGAGAUUCUGGCUACCCUGCUUUUCCUCCCUGCAUAUAUCAACAGACAGUUAGAUAUUUAACAAAUCGAGUAGGAGAGCU
rnacentral:lncRNA from 1 species